rnacentral:rRNA from 1 species
AACGAACGCUGGCGGCAUGCCUAACACAUGCAAGUCGAACGAGACCUCCGUGUCUAGUGGCGCACGGGUGCGUAACGCGUGGGAAGCUGCCCUUAGGUUCGGAAUAACUCACUGAAGGGGGUGCUAAUACCGGAUAAUGUCAUCGGACAAAAGAUUUAUCGCCUUUGGGUGGGCCCGCGUUGGUUUAGCUAGUUGGUAGGGUAAAAGCCUAUCAAGGCGACGAUCCAUAGCUGGUCUGAGAGGAUGAUCAGCCACACUUGGGCUAAGACACGGCCCAGACUCCUAGGGAAAGGAGCAGUGGGGAAUAUAGGACAAUGGGGGAUGGCCUGAUCCAGCAAUGCCGGGUAAGUGAUGAAGGCGUUAGGGUAGUGAAGCUCUUUUACCCGGGGUGAUAAUGACGGUACCGGGAGAAUAAGCACCGGCUAACUCCGUG